rnacentral:piRNA from 1 species
GCCAAGCUCUGGGUUUAUUACAUC